GACGCCUUCCGGCGCCGGAGGAGGACGGGGGCAGACGUUCUCCCGCAGAGGAGUGGGCGGAGCCACCUGCUCGGAUCGAACCAGGUGUGUAAACAGUAUCGGCUGAAGGACGUACAUCCUGGUACUUCCUGCUUCCUCUGCGGCCGUCACACAGCUGACUGACGUCUCGUUUGGAUUAGUGCUGCUGAAAAUGAUCCACCAUCAUUAACAGGAAUUUAUUCACCAUUAACAGCACGGCAGGAAAAGAUCUAGCAACUUCAAACCAGUAAACAAAACCAGUUAAAACAUGCCGUUAAGCUGACAGCAAACUGAUUAAAUACCUUAGAGCGGCGGAGAGUCAUUAUCGCCUUUCAUGUCUGGUGUUAUGUAAAGCACCAGCAACAGGCGGUUAUAUAAGCCCACCAGUUUGCCCCGUUUGCCCUGAGGGACAUAAACACACCCGGCAGAUGGCUGGAGGCCCGAAUCCACCAGAUCACGGCCUGUUCGCUCCGUUUCCACCCAGAGAAACGCUCCCACAGCCGGAGGAGAGGCAUGGAGAGGCUCAGGAGGAGCUCUGCCCCCCGGGGCAUCUGGGCGAACAAUGAGAACACGGCUCAGGGCGGCUCUGCAUUACCACCAGACCAGCAGACUGCACCAGACAAACUCCAAGGAUGCCUGUCUGUUUCUGUCCAGCAACACACAACGACCCGCGCCAUCUUGGUAGGCAGCCGCAGCUAAAUGCGCAGCGGAGCUCUGGCUUCCAGACCAACAAAAAGAAAAUAUCUGGACACUUGAAUGCGCAAGACGUGACCAAAAUGGCUGGCGUCAGGAUCGACCCAUAUCAGACGGAGAAGGAAAAUAGCUCAGGCGAUGUGAACAAGCUGCCUCCGAUCUCAUGCUACGAUAACGUUAGCUAGCUAGUGAACAGGAAGAGUGCGAACAACAUGGAGGAGCUUCAACUGAAAUCCAAACAAUUAAUGUUUCAACAGAUUUCUAAAGGGCUCUUUGAGUAAAUAACAAGUUUCUGGUGACUGGCAUGUCAAGUACAUUUAGUAACAAACACAUAGGCUACAUGUCCGCUAGCAGAUAAAAGCUACAUUAGCCAAGCUAAUUUAGCUGCUCUGGCAGAAAGUACUCAAGUAAAUAUCACUGAUGUUUAUCUUAGUGUUACAGAGGUGGUGGAGUACUCUAAAACUGUAACCGAGUAAUAGUUGUAAUGUACUUUAUUGUUCAUACUUUAAAUAGGAACAAGGUGAGAGCUAGUUCUACUGUUGUCAUAGCAACUCCAUAGCAACUGCCUGCCAAGAUGGCUGCCAGUUACAAAGUUCUGGAGGUUCUGGAGUUCAUGUGAGGUCACAUGAGAAAUGUGUUGGCUCAUCAUUACCUUUGAGGGUCAAAAAACAAAAAAGUCUUUAUGAGAGUUUUAAAAUUUAAUUUUUUAUAAAGUUCAGGAGAGGUUAAAAACUCUCCUGAAUUAAAAAAAUAAAUUACAUUUUCCUGUUAGUUUUAGAGCCAGCUAAUAUUUCAGAAUUGUCUUUUUUAAAACUGUUGCAUAAUUUACAAAAGUGUGAUUCGUGUAGAAAAAAGAAAUCCUGAAAACUUGAGUCAUCUGUGUCCUUAGAUGGUAUUUCAACACAUUUCAAAUAGGCUUUUUGUGGAUACUGAAGGCGAUAAAAGACUUUUUAAAGCAUCGUUAUUGCUUAUAACAGCAAGAAAGUUGCUGCGUUAGUCUGAGUCUUUUUUUGAAAUGAGAGUUUUUGAGUCAUUUCCUGGUUAGCUACUGAACGAUCAAUCAAUUCGCUGCAUUAGCAUUGAUGAAGCCUCCAUCGCUGAUUGUGCGGCAACAUUUACGGUACAAAGAAAAAAAGGAACAGUAAAGACCGAGAACCACGGGCCCUGCAGCCGAGACGUCCGUCAGCUCCACCGACCCGUCCACCUGUCCGCUGCCCAGCUUCAGCUCGUUAAUGA